rnacentral:ncRNA from 1 species
GGCAGCGGGGAAUGGUCUGCAAUGGCUGAAAGCCUGCCGGAGCAAUGCUGUGUGGGGAUAGAAGUCCCCCAAGUUAUGAGAUUGAAUCUUAGAGAAGAAACAAUGAUAGUAUCUAGGGAAUAAGCAUCAGCCAACUCUAUGCCAACACUAGUGGUAAUAUAGAGGAUGUA